rnacentral:rRNA from 1 species
AUGGAAUGAACCUUCGGGGGAAUGAAAUCCUAGAAAGUGGCGAACGGGUGAGUAACGCGUGGGUAACCUGCCCUAUGGAAAGGAAUAGCCUCGGGAAACUGGGAGUAAUGCCUUAUAAUAUACGAGAGUCGCAUGGCUUUUGUAUUAAACGCUCCGGUGCCAUAGGAUGGACCCGCGUCCCAUUAGCUAGUUGGUGAGAUAACAGCUCACCAAGGCGAAGACGGGUAGCCGGCCUGAGAGGGUGAACGGCCACACUGGAACUGAGAGACGGUCCAGACUCCUACGGGAGGCAGCAGUGGGGAAUAUUGGGCAAUGGGGGAAACCCUGACCCAGCGACGCCGCGUGAGGGAAGAAGGCCUUAGGGUCGUAAACCUCUGUUGUGUGGGAAGAAGAGCGUGACGG